rnacentral:tRNA from 1 species
GCGUCCUUAGCUCAGCUGGAUAGAGUACCUGGCUACGUACCAGGCGGUCGGAGGUUCGAAUCCUCCAGGACGCG